GAUGAAGAACGUAGCGAAAUGCGAUAAGUAAUGUGAAUUGCAGAAUUCAGUGAAUCAUCGAAUCUUUGAACGCACAUUGCCCCCGCUAGUAUUCUGGCGGGCAUGCCUGUCCGAGCGUCAUUUCAACCCUCAAGCCCCCGGGCUUGGUGUUGGGGAUCGGCGAGCCUCCGCGCCCGCCGUCCCCUAAAUCUAGUGGCGGUCUCGCUGUAGCUUCCUCUGCGUAGUAGCACACCUCGCACUGGGAAACAGCGCGGCCACGCCGUUAAACCCCCAACUUCUGAACGUUUGACCUCGGAUCAGGUAGGAAUACCCGCUGAACUUAAGCAUAUCAAUAAGCGGAGGA
rnacentral:misc_RNA from 1 species